rnacentral:rRNA from 1 species
ACGCUCAAGGAUGAGCCCGCGGCCCAUCAGCUAGUUGGCGGGGUAAUGGCCCACCAAGGCUACGACGGGUAGCUGGUCUGAGAGGACGACCAGUCACACUGGAACUGAGACACGGUCCAG